UAGAACUUUGAUGGCGAAAGUCUGUAACUCCAUAGUCUCUGCACCAUAUGUGUCCCACUAUUCAACUAUAGAAGUCAAAAAAAUAUUCAAGAGUUAGUAAGUAUAAAAAAUACAUCAAAGUUCGAGUAAUAAAAUAUAGGAACACUUGGUAACCUGGCGACUUCUUCGUUCUUUGUUUAAUAGAAAGUCGAAGACCAAAAAGACCGUCCGCUGCCUUGUAAGUAGCAACCUGAUCUACUAUCUUGUCUUGCAACUCUUCAUCUGGGUUCAACUUGACAAUAACCUGAUGGAAUCCUGUCCACACUUCUUUAGCCAAUGAAUUCUUCUCAUGCUGCUCAUAAAA
rnacentral:lncRNA from 1 species